AUGGAUUGGAAUCCAAAGGUUCUAUGUUGGAACGUGCGGGGCUUGAAUAACGCGAAGAGGAAUGCCGUGCGGGAGUUUGUGGUUGAAGCUAGCGUUAACCUCGUGUGCCUCCAAGAAACGAAACUGGAUGUAAUUGACCCAUUUACUGUUAUACAAUGCUUAGGGCCAUCGUUGGAUGGCUUUGCCUACUUGCCGGCGUCGGACACUCGUGGGGGUAUUCUCUUGGGGUGGGACACGACGACAUUGGACGUGGACAACAUUGUCCUGGAUACUCACUCUCUCACUGGGCUUGUGCACUGCAAGGACGGCUCGGCAUGGUGGGUGACAGUUGUUUAUGGGCCGCAAGGGGACGAGGAGAAGAUGCAAUUUCUAGUCGAGCUCCAUAACAGACGGGCGGUCUGUCCGGGGCUUUGGAUGGUGCUCGGGGAUUUCAACAUGAUCUUGCGAGCGGACGAGAAGAGUAACAAUAACUUACACAGGAGGAUCAUGAGAAGGUUUAAUGAAUUCGUGGACGAUUGUGAGCUUAAGGAGCCAUAUUUGCAUGGGAGGCGUUUCACUUGGUCGAACGAACGGGAGUAG
rnacentral:rRNA from 1 species